rnacentral:rRNA from 1 species
UACGGGGGGAGCAAGCGUUGUUCGGAUUUACUGGGCGUAAAGGGCGCGUAGGCGGUCGUGACAAGUCACUUGUGAAAUCUCCGGGCUUAACUCGGAAAGGUCAAGUGAUACUGUCGGACUAGAGUACAGAAGGGGCAACUGGAAUUCUCGGUGUAGCGGUGAAAUGCGUAGAUAUCGAGAGGAACACCUGCGGCGAAGGCGGGUUGCUGGGCUGAUACUGACGCUGAGGCGCGAAAGCUGGGGGAGCGAACGGG